rnacentral:rRNA from 1 species
CUACGGAGGGUCCAAGCGUUAUCCGGAAUCAUUGGGUUUAAAGGGUGCGCAGGCGGUUUAUUAAGUCAGUGGUGAAAUCUCGGGGCUCAACUCCGAAACUGCCAUUGAUACUGAUAAACUUGAGUUCAGUUGGAGUAGGCGGAAUGUGUAGUGUAGCGGUGAAAUGCUUAGAUGUUACACAGAACACCGAUAGCGAAGGCAGCUUACUAAACUGAUACUGACGCUGAGGCACGAAAGCGUGGGGAGCGAACAGGAUUAGAUACCCUAGUAGUCC